AUGCGGCCGUGGAGUGAGCUAAAAAAAGAGCUGCAUAUAAAUGAAACUGCACACAGUUGGGUCGUGUUUAGGUUCCUUUUAGUUGGAGAGACAAUGGAAUGUUUUCCUCUGUUUGUUCUGGGGCUUAUGGUGCUGGUGGCCAAAUCGCAGGAUACCGUGAUUGCAGUCUUAGACAGAGACACGGUUCUUCACUGCGCUGAUUCUGAGGUGAAUCUAGAGAACUGCCACAGAGUCAGAUGGGUUAAAUAUUCUAAACACGCCAGGCAAAUCCUCCUUUCCAAGCCUAAAACGCUCAACUUCCCUGAUGCUGAACGAGUGGAAUGGAGGCCUGAUGGAAAGAGAAACCUUUCUCUUUGGCUGACCAGGGUGCAACCAUCAGACACGGGGCUUUACAGCUGUGAAAUCUGGCGAGGCUGGGAACGUGUUAACGUCCGAAACACGUCUUUAACAUUCAAAGAGUGCAGAGGCCUGCCGGCUGUGAGGGCGGUGAAGGGCGCCUCCGCCAACCUGACCUGCCCGCUGGACGACAAGAUGGCGACCCUGCCAGGACCCAUAAACGUCUCCUGGGUCUGUUGUUGGGAAGGAUGCAAGCUGGUAUAG
rnacentral:lncRNA from 1 species